rnacentral:rRNA from 1 species
UGGAUAACCAUGGUAAUUCUAUGGCUAAUACAUGCGCACUCGCCUCCUUCUCUGGAGGGGCUGUGUUUAUUAGAUACAAAACCAACCCACUUUGUGGAGUCCUGGUGAUUCAUAGUAACCGAACGGAUCGCAGUUGGCUUCGGCCCGCGAUGGAUCUUUCAAGUUUCUGACCUAUCAGCUUUCGACGGUAGGGUAUUGGCCUACCGUGGCAGUGACGGGUAACGGGGAAUUAGGGUUCGAUUCCGGAGAGGGAGCCUGAGAAACGGCUACCACAUCUAAGGAAGGCAGCAGGCGCGCAAAUUACCCAAUGAAAACAGUUUCGAGGUAGUGACGAGAAAUAACAAUACAGGGCAUUUUAUGCUCUGUAAUUGGAAUGAUGGGAAUGUAAAACCCUUCCAGAGUAACAAUUGGAGGGCAAGUCUGGUGCCAGCAGCCGCGGUAAUUCCAGCUCCAAUAGUGUAUAUUAGAGUUGUUGCAGUUAAAAAGCUCGUAGUUGGAUUUCUGUCGUGGUCAUCCGGCUCCGCCCGUAUGGGUGUGCGCCUGGUUUGCCCUCGGCUUUCUUCCGGUAGCCUUCCGCGCUUCACUGCGUGUGUUGGUGUUCCGGAACUUUUACUUUGAGAAAAAUAGAGUGUUUCAAGCAGGCUUGUCGCCCUGAAUACUUCAGCAUGGAAUAAUAAGAUAGGACCUUGGUUCUAUUUUGUUGGUUUCUAGGACCAAGGUAAUGGUUAAUA